GUGUCAGCAGCCGCGGUAAUACGUAGGGAGCAAGCGUUGUCCGGAAUCAUUGGGCGUAAAGCGCGCGUAGGUGGCUCUAUAAGUCCGUUGUGAAAGUCAAAGGCUCAACCUUUGAAAGCCGAUGGAUACUGUAGAGCUAGAGUCCGGAAGAGGCGAGUGGAAUUCCUGGUGUAGCGGUGGAAUGCGCAGAUAUCAGGAGGAACACCAAUAGCGAAGGCAGCUCGCUGGGACGUGACUGACACUAAGGCGCGAAAGCGUGGGGAGCGAACAGGAUUAGAAACCCUGGUAGUCC
rnacentral:rRNA from 1 species